GGGGUUUUAGCUCAGUGGUAGAGCGCUUGCCUAGCAGGCAGGAGACCCUGGGUUCCAUCCUCAGAUCCA
rnacentral:tRNA from 1 species